rnacentral:rRNA from 1 species
UACGGAGGAUGCAAGCGUUAUCCGGGAUUAUUGGGCGUAAAGCGUCCGCAGGUGGCACUUCAAGUCUGUCGUCAAAGACCGGGGCUUAACCCUGGAAAGGCGAUGGAAACUGAAAGGCUAGAGAGAGGUAGGGGUAGAGGGAAUUCCCAGUGUAGCGGUGAAAUGCGUAGAGAUUGGGAAGAACAUCGGUGGCGAAAGCGCUCUACUGGACCUCAUCUGACACUCAGGGACGAAAGCUAGGGGAGCGAAUGGG